GUACUGAGCCACGCUUGUACGAAAUGCUUUAAUGUGGGUCAAGAAAGUCCAUUUCGAAAGUCAAUAUUGGUCCAGAUCUCUUUAAUAAACAACAGUUAAACUAGAAACAAGCUGCAGAUAAAUAUAGUCGCGUGGUUAAAACGUUGAUAAAGGUACAACUUCAACCCGACUCUGCCUCCAGAAGCCCCCAGUUCAAACCUCUUCCAGAUGGUGGCGAUGAACCCCCACACACCGCCCGCAGGCAGAACCAGUCCCCAUGCAGAUGUGCUAAAAGCUCACACCCGCAAAAGACAUACCAAUCUCAAGAACUAACCAACUCUAUCCAUCCAUCCUUUCAUCAAGGCUUACCUGUGCUCCUCUCACGACGUACUGUCUGCGUGGGGUGGAGGGCCAGUUGGUCGUAGUGUUCAAAAAAAGAGGACGUCUCAGGAGAGAAACACAAGAAGAGGGGAAAAAGAAACAGACAGGGGGAGGAGAA